rnacentral:rRNA from 1 species
CCCUUAGAUGUUCUGGGCCGCACGCGCGCUACACUGACGAAGUCAGCGAGCAUGUCCUACGCCGACAGGUGCGGGGAAUCUUGUCAAACUUCGUCGUGAUGGGGAUUGAUUAUUGAAAUUCUUGAUCAUCAACGAGGAAUUCCUAGUAAGCGCAAGUCAGCAGCUUGCGUUGAUUACGUCCCUGCCCUUUGUACACACCGCCCGUCGCUACUACCGAUUGAAUGGUUUAGUGAGAUCUUCGGAUUGGCGCCACUGCGACUCAGCAAUGGGCUCGGUGGAUGCCGAAAAGUUGAUCAAACUUGAUCAUUUAGAGGAAGUAAAAGUCGUAACA